GGAGUUUGUGUGCCAUACAGCAUUCUUCACCAGCAUUGUGGUCGUGCAGUGGGCCGAUCUGAUUAUCUGCAAGACCAGGCAUAAUUCAGUCUUCCAGCAGGGAACGAAGAACAAAAUCCUGAUCUUUGGAUUGUUUGAGGAAACAGCACUGGCGGCUUUCUUGUCUUAUUGCCCUGGCAUGGAUGUGGCUUUCAGAAUGUAACCACUCAAGCCCAACUGGUGGUUCUGUUCCUUCCCGUACUCUCUUCUCAUCUUUAUUUAUGAUGAAAUCAGAAAGCUCAUCCUUAGACAGAACCCCAGAGCUAAUCAGGAAACUGCAACCUUGCUCUAACCAAAUGUACUGUAUUGUUGGAUUUAAAUGAAUAGUAUACAAAUGUAUAUCCAAGUAGUGUAAGGGUUCAUCAUUUUAUGUUUUUCAACUGUAAAAGUAAAGUUUUAUUUUUUCUUUCUUUGCAGGUUGGGUGGAAAGAGAGACAUACUACUAAAGUGUU